UAAUAAGUGUUUAUGGCACUUUUUAAAUCCAUAUCCACCUUGUGUGCAAUGUCAAGUCUCUGUCAGUUUCGACCGACGAGAUUUUUAUACAUCAACUCAUUAUUUGAACCAAUUUGUCUGAAAAAUAUUAUGAAUACUUAAUUCAAAUA
rnacentral:misc_RNA from 1 species